rnacentral:lncRNA from 1 species
UGGAUGGGUACCACUUAAAUUGUGACCCAAUCUUUCUCCUUAAUUACAGCGGUUAACUUGGAUAUUUGGAAUUUAGAAACCAAUUAAGAUGUUUUACACUUCGUCUUUCCCAGUUGAUGCUCCAAGGGAACUCCAUAAUUCCAAUAAAAAAAAAAAGACAAUAAAAUUCUCUCAAACAGAGAGGGAAAUCAAUUGAGUUGCUCUAGUAUUAAACAAAAAACUUGCUCCUAUAGCUAGAGUC